rnacentral:rRNA from 1 species
UACAGAGGGUGCAAGCGUUGUUCGGAAUUACUGGGCGUAAAGGGCGUGUAGGCGGCUUAGCAAGUCAGAUGUGAAAUCCCGGGGCUUAACUUCGGAAGUGCAUUUGAAACUGCUAGGCUAGAGUGAAGUAGAGGUUGGUGGAAUUCCCAGUGUAGAGGUGAAAUUCGUAGAUAUUGGGAGGAACACCGGUAGCGAAGGCGGCCAACUGGGCUUUAACUGACGCUGAGGCGCGAAAGCGUGGGGAGCAAACAGG